rnacentral:misc_RNA from 1 species
CCGAACAUACUGGUUGCUAAACAGUCUAAACGAAGCGAGACCGACGACGGCGCCGCCUCUGGCGACGCACGAGGUUCUAACCCCGUGAAUGAAACUUGCGUUAUGCGAAGUCGGGCGAGGGGCGCCUCGCGGAGCGUGUGCUCUUUAAUUCAAACAGCGCGCGCUCUAAUCAAAGCGUACCCCACUUUUCAACCCCACCAAACUCUGAAUCUGAACUAAAAAGGGGGGUGGUAAGCCGUCUCCGACGCGCGCCCCCUCAACCUUUAACGUU